rnacentral:rRNA from 1 species
UACGAGGGGUGCGAGCGUUAUUCGGAAUUAUUGGGCGUAAAGGGUGCGUAGGCGGUAUAUUAAGUCUGUUGUUAAAGCUCUCGGCUCAACCGGGAAUUGGCAGUAGAAACUGAUAAACUAGAGGGUGGAAGAGAGGAGUAGAAUUCUCGGAGUAGCGGUAAAAUGCGUAGAUAUCGAGAGGAAUACCAAUGGCGAAGGCAGCUCCUUAGUCCAACUCUGACGCUGAUGUACGAAAGUGUGGGGAGCAAACAGG